GUGGAUUCUGAUGGACUAAUAUAGAAGCAAGGAUUUCAAAAGGCUGAGUAAGAGCUAAUAGGAUCUGAACUAGGGCAGCAGAAGUAGAGAGGGGAGGGACAGAUUGGAAAAGGAAUUAAGAGGUCAGCUGGACUUGGUGACUGGUCAGACGUGGGGGAUGAGAAAGAAAGGAGGGUGCUGGGGAUCCACAAGGCGCAGAGGUGAACUGGUCCAGGAGACUUUUCCUAUAGCCAAUGGGAGAAUCCACCUUCAAGCUACCCGCCUUUUAAGAAGUUAUCAGAAAUUGUUUGCAGAUACCAUCUGCAGACCUCAGCUCGCACGCACGCCAGACCUCCCGGGAGACCCGAAGCCUGACUUCGGGUCAAUCACAGCUCCUGGACACAGGGAAGAGAUGACAGACUUUGAACUAAGAAAACUCAGUGAUGAAAACAACAACUCAAAUCGCCUGGAAGCGUUGUUUUUUUUUUUUUCAUUCUGUUGAAGAAUUAUCAGCAAAAUGUUUCUGAAUAUUGAGAUAAGUUAAUAUAUGUCAGGCAGUGAAGUGAACUGAAAAUCGUUCAGUCGUGUCUGACUCUUUGUGACCCCAUGGACCGCAAACUGCCAGGCUCCUCUCUCCAUGGAAUUCUUCAGGCAAGAAUACUGGGGUAGGUUGACAUUUCCUUCUCCAAUAUGUCAGGCAAGUUUUCAUUUAAAAAAAAAAGUUUAAUGUUUUUAAUCUAUCUCAGCACUUCUGUGUAACAGUGUAGAAAGAGGAUGGGCUUAGGAAUAUCGUAAAUUCAAGACAAGUAAAAACAUGAAGCCAUAUGUUUAAAGAGCAAUUUGAAGCACUUAUCAGUAUUCUUCACACAAUUAUAACAGCUCACGUUUUCGA
rnacentral:lncRNA from 1 species